AAUUGGCUGACGAGUCCCAAAUAGGACGAAAUGCGCAUCCUGGGG
rnacentral:hammerhead_ribozyme from 1 species